AUGGACUAUAAACUCUGCAUUUUGAGCAGCCGUACUUACUAGGGGCUAACGAGGAGGCCGAGGAGCCUGGCUGGGCACUAUGGGAAGAUGGAAAAGCAAGAGAGUUGGGCUUCUAUGCGAUUCAGUGAUGACGUCAUUAGCACUGUAUCACACGCCUCCUGCAAGGUCUGAAGCCAGACCCCAUGGACCUAUGUGGGAUCCUUCUGCCUUCCUUGGAGGACAUGUAUGAGUAAAAGUCUUGGGGAACUUGGAGCCUAGGGGAGGAAAACUCAGAUACACGCACGUAGGGGUAGAUAUAACUAAAUAU
rnacentral:lncRNA from 1 species